rnacentral:rRNA from 1 species
CCUACGGGAGGCAGCAGUGAGGAAUAUUGGUCAAUGGGCGGGAGCCUGAACCAGCCAAGUCGCGUGAGGGAAGACGGUCCUAUGGAUUGUAAACCUCUUUAGGCGGGGAGCAAUGCCGGGCACGCGUGCCCGGAGGGAGAGUACCCGCAGAAUAAGCAUCGGCUAACUCCGUGCCAGCAGCCGCGGUAAUACGGAGGAUGCGAGCGUUAUCCGGAUGUAUUGGGUUUAAAGGGUGCGUAGGCGGAUUUUUAAGUCAGCGGUAAAAUGUCCGGGCUCAACCCGGGCCGGCCGUUGAAACGGGGGAUCUUGAGUGGGCGAGAAGUAUGCGGAAUGCGUGGUGUAGCGGUGAAAUGCAUAGAUAUCACGCAGAACUCCGAUUGCGAAGGCAGCAUACCGGCGCCCGACUGACGCUGAGGCACGAAAGCGUGGGGAUCGAACAGGAUUAGAUACCCCAGUAGUC